GGACCAUCAUGUCGGUCGUGCCUCGGUACGUACUGGCAUUGUUGGUUUCUCCCUUCUGACGAACCAUGAUGUCAUUUAUUUGGUGUUGUGGGGAAUCAGGACUGUUACUUUGAAAAAAUUAGAGUGUUUAAAGCAGGCUCACGCUUGAAUACAUUAGCAUGGAAUAAUGAAAUAGGACGUUUGAUUCUAUUUUGUUGGUUUACGGACGGCCGUA
rnacentral:rRNA from 1 species